AGAUUGAACGCUAGCGGCAUGCCUAACACAUGCAAGUCGAACGGUAACAGGCCCUUCGGGGUGCUGACGAGUGGCGGACGGGUGAGUAAUGCGUAGGAAUCUACCCACGAGUGGGGGAUAGCCCGGAGAAAUCCGGAUUAAUACCGCAUAUGCCCUACGGGGUAAAGCGGGGGAUCGUAAGACCUCGCGCUGGUGGAUGAGCCUACGUCCGAUUAGCUAGUUGGGUAGGGUAACGCCUACCGAGGCGACGAUCGGUAGCGUGGUCUGAGAGGACGACCAGCCACACGUGGGACUGAGACACCGGCCC
rnacentral:rRNA from 1 species